rnacentral:tRNA from 1 species
UGGCUCAGUUGGUAGAACAUGGUGUUUGCAAUGCUAGGGUUGUGGGUUCGAUUCCCAC